CAGUAGCCGCGGGAAUACAGAGGGUGCGAGCGUUAAUCGGAUUUACUGGGCGUAAAGCGUGCGUAGUCGGCUUCUUAAGUCGGAUGUGAAAUCCCUGAGCUUAACUUAGGAAUUGCAUUCGAUACUGGGAAGCUAGAGUAUGGGAGAGGAUGGUAGAAUUCCAGGUGUAGCGGUGAAAUGCGUAGAGAUCUGGAGGAAUACCGAUGGCGAAGGCAGCCAUCUGGCCUAAUACUGACGCUGAGGUACGAAAGCAUGGGGAGCAAACAGGAUUAGAUACCCCGGUAGUCCCUGUCUCUUAUAC
rnacentral:rRNA from 1 species